UACGUAGGGGGCUAGCGUUGUCCGGAAUCAUUGGGCGUAAAGAGCUCGUAGGCGGUCUGUCGCGUCGGUCGUGAAAACUUGGGGCUUAACCCUGAGCUUGCGGUCGAUACGGGCAUGACUGGAGUUCGGCAGGGGAGACUGGAAUUCCUGGUGUAGCGGUGAAAUGCGCAGAUAUCAGGAGGAACACCGGUGGCGAAGGCGGGUCUCUGGGCCGAUACUGACGCUGAGGAGCGAAAGCGUGGGGAGCGAACAGG
rnacentral:rRNA from 1 species